AUGUGUUUUUUUGUGCGAUUAAAUUUGGCAAUAGUGGGUGCGGCUUGGUUCCUUCCUGCUGGAGGCGGUCCAGUUGUGAACGUGAAAUUUCCUGAAAGGAAAACUAAGACGCGGACGCAGUGGCGUUCAUUGGAAAGAAGAGCCUUAAUCUUUGCAAUGCUGCCAAGACAAAGAAUUCCGCGCGGAAAAAAUAGCCGAAUUUUCCAAAAAAUUUCCCAGGAAAACUUUCAUUCUCCGGAGGAAAUUAUCUUCGGCGGAAAACACGUUCUUGUUAAGAAAAAUCCAAUCGUGCAUGCAGGUCAGCAGCUGAAUAUAAAUAAACAGACAGGUGUGGCACGACUAUAGCUUUUCCGAUGAGAAAAUUUCCUCGCUAUAGAGCACCCCCCCCCCCCCGUUGUACCUGAUGUAACUCUUAGCCGCCCCACUGGUAUCUGAGAGAGUAAUUAAUAACGACGGUUAUUACUCCUCCUAAGGAUGUAACAUGGAAAAAAAACCACGCUGACUGCAAGUAGUUUUCAAUCAUGAGAAUCCCGUCCAUGAGCCCAGGUUCUAAACAUACGCUUCAUAUUUUAACUGAAUGUUUCAGAAAGGGUUCUGUGAUAUAAUUGUUGCAAAUUUUCGAAGAACAAAAAAUUGAAAAAAUGAAGACAUUUUUUUUUUUUUUUUUUUUUUUUUUUAAAAAAAAAUUGAGUUGUUGGUAAAAAAAUUACAUAAUUGAAACUUCAAGGAAAAAGUAGAGAUAGUUAACGUUAACUAUGAAAGAAAAGCAACAAAAAAAAGGUAUCUGGAAAGAGAAAUUCCAUCAGCUGCCAUGAAAAUAAUAGUGAAAAUCAGUUGCGCGCAGAUGAUGAAGAAAAUAUCAUUCCGAAAAUCACUUUACUUCAUGUGUCUUGAAACAGCAUGAAGUAAUCAAUUUCCUUGCCAAGGAGUAAAAAAAUAAAAACAGAAUAAGUGCGGUCCUAGUCACGGCUAGUAAAUAAAGAGGUGUAAUUCCUGAUACAUUUGCGUCGUUAUCUGUUGUAGGUACAUUAAGGCUCAAAUCUAGCAACUGCACAAUGCUCCAUUAGAGUGCUAAGAGGAAACGACCUAUAAACAUUUAAUUCCUCCGAUAAAAUGUAUAUUUGACAAAAAGUUGUCGAAUAUUUUUCUACUGAAUUAUUCGAAAAUUGCAUUCAAUUUGCGAAGAAAGAAUAAAAAAGAAGAAAAAAACCUACAAAAAUGUCAAAAAUAAACAUUCCAGACGAUUACAGAAUGUUUGCCGGUUUCUUUACCUAACAAGUACAGCGAGGACACUAAUUAUGCCGUGCUAAGGAAGAACGCCGUAUGAGCCUUCAGACGUUGCCAAAUUUCCUUGAAUAAUACACAAAUGUAUGGGGAAAUUAGUGGAGAUUUUCCCUCCAAUUUUUCAGAGAAUUUUAUUCGCAACUAGAUCUUGGGAUUAAAAAAAUCUCAAGAGGAAACAAUCGCAACUCUCAUCAAAAAUUUAAAUGAACAUUUGAUCGGAGAUUUGGCAACUAUCGAAUGUUCAUUAAGUGUUUUUCCUUAGAACGGCAGAAUUGACAGCUUCCUCAAGAAAAACGUUACCAACUUCAAUCAGCAUGUAACAGAUGGAGGUGGAAUUUGACAGCAUUUUGUAAUUAGGAGCUACAAUUUCUGGCUCAGUUAUGUAUUUCAAGUUUCGCUAUGCAUGUAAGUGUUCCUACAGAUGAGCUGGCACUUGUAGUUGUAGUUCCGAAAUCCAAAAAGUAGUCAAAUUGUCAAUCUCAUGCUCGAAAAAUAACAUAAAGCCAAUGAAAGAGGCCACCUUGAAAGACAAGGCUAAGUACAUGUAUUUUUUUGGGCUCAACUCAAGUUUGUCACAAAUUAAAUAGCUUCUAGAAAUUAUCAACAAAUGGAAUUUUACUCAAGAGCUUCACAGUAAACACACCUGAAUCAAAUGGGGAGGGGUUAUUUUGUAACUUUCAUGUCUCAUGAGGCCCCCCCCCCCCCACUAUAGACUAGGGUUUUUACGGCCCUCCCCGGGUCAUUGAAAUCUCCGUUCCUGUGACUACAAUAGCUUGAAGAAAUAAAUUGAUGAAUAAUAAAACUGUCGAAAUGCUGCAUUCUUCAUCAACACUCCAUGUGAGAAGGUAAAGAAGCCAUAAUUUCAAGCAAACGCCUUCCAGCAAUGGGCUCAGCGAAGAUUUCUGCUUUACAACUCCUUUAGGUGCGAUGCCGUACCUUCGAGGGGCAGUUUACAAAAUUACAAUUUGCGACAAGUAAAGCUUCACCGAAGGAGCUUCCAAACAGGAGACGUAGGAAUGCCCUCGAAGGCAUUGAAGAUUCACGGGACAUGAUGUGGACAAGGAAAAGUAUUAACUUUGCAUAAGUACAGGGGUCAAAUCUGUAGAGGUAAACCAGGAACCAGACCAAGGAGUGAUCUAUCAAUUGAUAUACACGCAGGAUUUCAUUCUUAACUCUGAUUAUUUCCAUACUACUCACUUAAACUUAUUGUGCAAUUCACAUUGUGAACGAAAUGAUUCGUCCUUCCAAGUUUCAUUCUGAAGAUCAUCAAGUCAAACUGCGAUUCUAUCAAGGCAUUAAAAAUUCAUUCUAGACAUGUUCUGCCUUCCCUGAACCAAAGGCAAAAUUCAGUAGAUCGAGUGUAAGUAAUUAAAGCAAAUGAACCAAUGGGCAAGGUCAGACCUAAGAAGAAUUUUUCUCUUUAAAAUCUUAUACAGAAAAUAAUUCACGUCACAGGAAGUUUGGAGAUCAACUCCUGAAUGAAACAUUAACAAAUAUGAUAAACAGAGAUCAAAUGAAGGUAUUGUAAAUAAUGACAUCGUUCACUUGUUAUCCUCCUUUAUUCCGUAUUCUUCACUAUUUAUCCAAUGCGAAGUGUAAAUACUUUAUUCAGGAGUUGAUAUUCAGACUACCUGUAGAGCAAUUCAUUUUUUUGAUGAAAUUUAGAAGAGAAAAUAUGAUGCACAGUGAUUAAAUUGAUCCCUUGUUCAGAGGCCAAUUAAGAAAACAAAAAAUAAUAGAUCAGAUGUUUCUAAAAAGUACUGGUUUCAACAGUAAUUUCAGGCAAAUGAUGAUUCAUUCUUCUGAAAAUCUUGUGGUUAAAUGUAAAACUAAGGAAAAUUACUCCAAUGCAAUGUUUCCUACUCAUGACUACUACUGAGAAAUAAUGUUUUACACCUAGAUAAGGUGACCUUCACUUUACUUUUGCUUAAGAUUUUAUGACGCGAUGCAUACUUUCCAUCGCACUGCACAUACCAACUGAAACUACCACCUACAAUCCUUGAGUUUGCACUUUCAGUUGACUUUCCAGAAUUUUUUUUUUAGAUUGAGUUGGCAGGAGGCUGUACCACUUCCACGAUAUAUUCACGAAGAUCAAACACCGCUUAGAGAAACUUUUUCC
rnacentral:lncRNA from 1 species